rnacentral:rRNA from 3 species
UGGGGAAUAUUGGACAAUGGGCGCAAGCCUGAUCCAGCCAUACCGCGUGGGUGAAGAAGGCCUUCGGGUUGUAAAGCCCUUUUGUUGGGAAAGAAAAGCAGCCGGUUAAUACCCGGUUGUUCUGACGGUACCCAAAGAAUAAGCACCGGCUAACUUCGUGCCAGCAGCCGCGGUAAUACGAAGGGUGCAAGCGUUACUCGGAAUUACUGGGCGUAAAGCGUGCGUAGGUGGUUGUUUAAGUCUGUUGUGAAAGCCCUGGGCUCAACCUGGGAAUUGCAGUGGAUACUGGGCGACUAGAGUGUGGUAGAGGGUAGUGGAAUUCCUGGUGUAGCAGUGAAAUGCGUAGAGAUCAGGAGGAACAUCCAUGGCGAAGGCAGCUACCUGGACCAACACUGACACUGAGGCACGAAAGCGUGGGGAGCAAACAGG